UACGUAGGGACCGAGCGUUGUCCGGAAUCAUUGGGCGUAAAGAGCGUGUAGGCGGCUAUUUAAGUCCUGCGUGAAAUCCUGCGGCUCAACCGCAGACGGUCGUGGGAAACUGGAUGGCUAGAGUGCGGGAGAGGAGAGUGGAAUUCCCGGUGUAGCGGUGAAAUGCGCAGAUAUCGGGGAAGAACACCCGUGGCGAAGGCGGCUCUCUGGAACGCAACUGACGCUGAGACGCGAAAGCGUGGGGAGCAAACAGG
rnacentral:rRNA from 1 species